rnacentral:rRNA from 1 species
GAAAGAGAACCUGCACACAGGUGCUGCGUGGCUGUCGUCCGCUCGUGUCGUGAGAUGUUGGGUUAAGUCCCGCAACGAGCGCAACCCUUGUCAUUAGUUGCUACAUUCAGUUGGGCACUCUAAUGAGACUGCCGGUGACAAACCGGAGGAAGGUGGGGAUGACGUCAAGUCCUCAUGGCCCUUAUAGGUGGGGCUACACACGUCAUACAAUGGCUGGUACAAAGGGUUGCCAACCCGCGAGGGGGAGCUAAUCCCAUAAAACCAGUCGUAGUCCGGAUCGCAGUCUGCAACUCGACUGCGUGAAGUCGGAAUCGCUAGUAAUCGUGGAUCAGAAUGUCACGGUGAAUACGUUCCCGGGUCUUGUACACACCGCCCGUCACACCAUGGGAGCGGGUUCUGCCAGAAGUAGUUAGCCUAACCGCAAGGAGGGCGAUUACCACGGCAGGGUUCGUGACUGGGGUGAAGUCGUAACAAGGUAACCA